UACGUAGGGGGCAAGCGUUGUCCGGAUUUAUUGGGCGUAAAGAGCGCGCAGGCGGUCGUUCAAGUCGCGUGUGAAAGCCCCCGGCUCAACUGGGGAGGGUCACGCGAUACUGAUCGACUCGAAGGCAGGAGAGGGAAGUGGAAUUCCCGGUGUAGUGGUGAAAUGCGUAGAGAUCGGGAGGAACGCCUGUGGCGAAGGCGGCCACCUGGGCCGACCCUGACGCUGAGGCGCGAAGGCGUGGGGAGCGAACGGG
rnacentral:rRNA from 1 species